UCGCUCGUGCUGGAUCGCGUGCUGAGGCUCACUGGAGCUAUUUUUUCGACUUUGACAGAGCGACAACACCCUCGCACGGCGCAUCAGAGCCACGGACGCUCAUUUGAAUCAAACGCAGAGCGGGAGGCACGUCGGGAGGGCUCGGCGAGCUGUCUACCAGAUGGACGUGGCAGGAAGGGGUGUGUCAUGGCAGAACCACGACCGCACGGAAGAGAUUCACGGGGAUGCAAUGAGAGACGUGUAGAGAC
rnacentral:misc_RNA from 1 species